rnacentral:rRNA from 1 species
UACGUAGGGUGCGAGCGUUAAUCGGAAUGACUGGGCGUAAAGGGUGCGCAGGCGGUUGGUCAAGACGGAUGUGAAAGCCCCGGGCUUAACCUGGGAGUGUCAUUCGUGACUGACGAACUAGAAUAUGGCAGAGGGAGGCGGAAUUCCACAUGUAGCAGUGAAAUGCGUAGAGAUGUGGAGGAACACCAGUGGCGAAGGCGACUUACUGGACACAUAUUGACGCUGAGGUGCGAAAGCGUGGGGAGCAAACAGG